UACGGGGGGGGGCAAGCGUUGUUCGGAAUUAUUGGGCGUAAAGAGCGUGUAGGCGGUCCGGUAAGUCAGCUGUGAAAGUCAAGGGCUCAACCCUUGAAUGCCGGUUGAUACUGUCGGGCUAGAGUCCGGAAGAGGCGAGUGGAAUUCCCGGUGUAGCGGUGAAAUGCGCAGAUAUCGGGGAGGAACACCUGCGGCGAAGGCGGGUUGCUGGGCUGACACUGACGCUGAGGCGCGAAAGCUAGGGGAGCGAACAGG
rnacentral:rRNA from 1 species